rnacentral:rRNA from 1 species
GAUCCUGGCUCAGGAUGAACGCUAGCGGCAGGCUAACACAUGCAAGUCGAGGGGCAACGCGAGUAGCAAUACUUGGCGGCGACCGGCGCAAGGGUGCGUAACGCGUGAGCAACAUGCCCGUAUCAGGGGGAUAAUCCAGGGAAACUUGGUCUAAUACCCCAUAGUAAUUUUGUAAGGCAUCUUAUAAGAUUUAAAGCUUUGGUGGAUACGGAUUGGCUCGCGUGACAUUAGCUGGAUGGUAAGGUAACGGCUUACCAUGGCUAUGAUGUCUAGGGGUUCUGAGAGGAAGGUCCCCCCACACUGGAACUGAGACACGGUCCAGACUCCUACGGGAGGCAGCAGUGAGGAAUAUUGGACAAUGGAUGGAAAUCUGAUCCAGCCAUGCCGCGUGAAGGAAAGAAGGUCCUAUGGAUUGUAAACUUCUUUUGUAUGGGAGCAAUAAGGCCUACGAGUAGGUUGAUGAGAGUACCAUACGAAUAAGCACCGGCUAACUCCGUGCCAGCAGCCGC